rnacentral:misc_RNA from 1 species
CUCUUUCUUUUCUCCCUUAUUUGGCAAACAAGAAAACAGUGUUGGCCCUAGGUACAAGAUAAAGACAAAAACUAACGGUUUAACAAAGUUUGCAUACCUACGUUACAAAACAUGUUGGGUUGCCCGUAUAUACCGUAUUUCUCACGUGAGAUUGAAAGUUUACUGAAAUAUUUGUUCCGGAAUGAGGCAAGGACACCGUUAGUUUAGAAGGGAUGCUUAUAUCAAAUUGAAUAGUAAUAACUUUUCCUAUCACUAGCUCGGUAUAUCAUCAUUUUAUCAGGAAAAACAUCAUCAUUCGUGUUUGUAAAGGACAUUCAAGAGGGCUUGCGUGAAUAACUAUGAUCAGAGGUACCAUCAGGUCUUCCUGCAGUGGUGAUGUAGCAGAUAUCCUUCGAAGCAUGAAAAACAUAAUGAUGUGGUCUGCUAGAGCUUGUCUCUACCCCUAUGCAUUCUUGUUGGGCAUCGUAACAGUCGUCGUCAUAUUUCAAUUGAUUAACAUCGUCGACCCACCUUACGUCAUCAAGUCUAAACACGGCAUCGAUGAAGUUGAUUAUGAUGACAAUCCUGCUGGACCUCCACCAAGAUGCAACUGGAAUGUUCACAUAUUCGAUAAGAUCAGGACAUUGAACAAAGCUUCAGAAUUUACAGCCUUGAUGUCAAAACUCAAAAAGGUGACGAAAUACAGAUAUGCAACAGGUAAACCCAUGGUAUGCAAAGGUGACCAGGGUCAGAUUCCGUGUUAUAUGAAGAUAACGGUAUCACUGAACGAGACGGACCUGCGAAACAAGGACGCGGUGGUCUUCGGGAUGUCCGCGGUAUCUAUGAGAGAGGCAAUAGCUCUAAUGACGUCUAAACGUCGGAUAGACCCCGAUCAACUUUGGGUCUUCAUGACGAUGUUAUCACCUCUUGAGAUGAAGAAGCGUUUUCCACGUAUCGGUAGUUUUCCAUCGCAUAUCACGUGGUCAUACCUGACGUCGUCCGACGUAGUUAAUCCGUAUGCACAAUAUUCCGUAAAUGAACCGACGGAUAAGUUCAACGUCACUUACGGUCACUACGUCAGGGGAAAACGGAAACUGGUGGCUUGGAUGGGGGACAAUUGCGGUGACAAAGACUUCUGGCCAAGGAAAGCCUAUCUGGCGGAGCUAAUGAAGCAUGUACCCGUGGAUCUUUAUGGAGAAUGUACUAAUCUUACGUGUCUCCCAAGAAACUCGGAGCAAUGUGGCAUGUUGAUGAGUCAAUACAAAUUUUUCCUUGCCUUUGAAAGUUCCGAAUGCCGGGAAUACAUCACGGAGCCUUUCUGGUUCACAGCCCUCAAACACCAAUCCGUACCUAUCGUCUAUGGUCCUAAGAAGGAUUCCUACCUCAAGCUGGCACCACCACUGUCUUUUAUUCACAUCUCAGACUUUGAGUCCCCACAAGCUCUGGCAAAUUACCUGAAGUCACUUGACAAAAACGAUGGAUUAUACUCUCGUUUCUUUAAGUGGCGACAUUCAGGGUCCUUAAAGCCCCGGUACCCUCCGUUCAAACCGGAAGCUUUGUGCAAACUACUCCCAUACAUAGAAGAUAUGAAGAUCAGAAAAUUUGAAAAGGAAACACUGUCAAAUACAAAAUGGCUGAGUAGUUGCAGAAAUAAAAAUAUAACUUCAGUGCAUUCAUUAAGUAACUGGACUCCUUGGAAAUAAUACAUUAUAUCUCGUCUUUUUAUGAGGUCCCUUUCGAUGGAUAAAACAUGACGAUGACGUUUGUUUUCACGAAAGUGCUUCAAGACAUUACGACAUUGUGAAUCCUGUGGACAAGAUGGCGGAGUUUUUUUCCGAUUACCCGAACUUGCUAUUUCAAUCAGGGAUGGCACGGAAGUGGGGGGGAUAAAUACAGCUAAGAGAUUAUUCAUUAUUAGUUUUCUUUAUUUUAUACUCGGUUUUAAAGAUUUAGUAAUAGGCGUAUAGCAUAAUAAUGUUUUCUCCUUUCUUUCAUUUUUUUUUUUUUUUGGGGGGGGGUGAUUUUUCAUUAUUUGAUAAAGAUAUGAUAUGGGAGGUCAUUUUUUGUAGCGGCGUAUGACCCUGCUUUGCCAGCUUCAAUAUGAUGGACUUUAUCACAAAGGUUCAAAUCAGAAUGGUACUACCAAAUGCAUUGAUUGAUAUGCUACUAUAUGGACACUCCAACUUACAACUAUCCAUAACAGCCAAGUCAGUGGCUAGCUAUCAACCCUGGUGUUAAAGAAGUUGGUAAAUGGUAAUGGUGCCAUUGGAUUUUGCUGUUUUAAAGAUUGGGUUAUUUUGGAGACGAUAAUGGCGCAGUCACAUAUAUACGGUGGCCGUACGGUGAGUCGAAAACAGCCGUUUACAUUUUUUGUACCAGUUACAAAAUAAGAUAGGUGGUUUGAAUAAAGAUGAAAUAAAACGGCUUUUUCGACUCAUCGUAUAUUGGAAAGGUGGCUGCAACAUAAAGAUCGGUCAGGUCUGAUUCAUCACCAAAAAUAUCGGCUGUUCCUUCACAAUCACCAUAAAAAUCGGCACAUGUUGAUUGUGAUAGACUGAAUAUAGUUCAAUUUUAAUGAAACGAUGUUAUUGUCCAAAGUUCCCUAUAUAAUAUAUGCAUGUUUUUUUAUAUAAAUCUUUUAAAGUCUGUAUUUCUUUAAAUUAUGAUUCUUUAUUUUUAUUUAUAUAAUUAAUUCUAUGUUCAGUUGAUCAUUUUUUUCCUUUCAUUUCUGUACUUUUCUUGUUUUCGGUGAGGGGGGGGGGUGGUGCGCAAUCACUAAAACUGCUCCAAUGGUUUUCUUUAUUUUAUGAGGGUUUUCAUUUAUUUUAUAUUUUGGAGGAGCGGGGUUGUUUCACAAUUCUUUCAUUUCAAUUGUUUUUUCUCUACCGUAUAUAAGCUAAUCAAAAAUCCUAAAACGAUUGAAUUUCAUAACAUUUUCACUUUCUCAUUUCCUUUAAUUCUUUCCUUUCUUCUUUUUUUUUCUUGGUCGUGAAACUUUUUUGUGGGGAGGAUCUAUGGCCCCAAAGCCCCGCGGUCUGUGCGCCAGUGCUACUAGUAUAUGAACAGACUAGUUUAACAGUAAUUUUAUUCCGUAAUAUCAUUAUUAUAACAUUGAUUUAUAACAUCAUACUUACAUUGCAAUGCGUGUUGUUAAUCAUCAUCUGAAUUAUUGAUAAAUUUAUCAUAGAAAUCAACAGAUAUACUAAUAGAUAUGGUCGACAAUUAGAUUAUGACUAGC